CCCCUCUCAGGUUCACACCUGGAGAGUUCUCAGUACUCUACCAGUCUCGGCUACAGGAGGGAGAGCCAGGCAGAGACAUUCCCAUUCCAUUCCUAGUUUGGGCAGUGGCUAGCGAGUGGAACGCAAUCUGCUACAAGU
rfam:Ornithorhynchus anatinus chromosome 3, whole genome shotgun sequence.